GCACUUCGGGAUAAGCCUGGGAAACUGGGUCUAAUACCGGAUAAGACCAAAAGGCGCAUGCCUUGUGGUGGAAAGCUUUUGCGGUGUGGGAUGGGCCCGCGGCCUAUCAGCUUGUUGGUGGGGUGACGGCCUACCAAGGCGACGACGGGUAGCCGGCCUGAGAGGGUGUCCGGCCACACUGGGACUGAGAUACGGCCCAGACUCCUACGGGAGGCAGCAGUGGGGAAUAUUGCACAAUGGGCGCAAGCCUGAUGCAGCGACGCCGCGUGGGGGAUGACGGCCUUCGGGUUGUAAACCUCUUUCACCAUCGAGGAAGGUCCGGGAUUUCUCGGAUUGACGGUAGGUGGAGAAGAAGCACCGGCCAACUACGUGCCAGCAGCCGCGGUAAUACGUAGGGUGCGAGUGUUGUCCGGAAUUACUGGGCGUAAAGAGCUCGUAGGUGGUUUGUCGCGUUGUUCGUGAAAUCUCACGGCUUAACUGUGAGCGUGCGGGCGAUACGGGCAGACUGGAGUACUGCAGGGGAGACUGGAAUUCCUGGUGUAGCGGUGGAAUGCGCAGAUAUCAGGAGGAACACCGGUGGCGAAGGCGGGUCUCUGGGCAGUAACUGACGCUGAGGAGCGAAAGCGUGGGGAGCGAACAGGAUUAGAUACCCUGGUAGUCCACGCUGUAAACGGUGGGUACUAGGUGUGGGUUUCCUU
rnacentral:rRNA from 1 species